UCUGGUUCCCAUUGUAAUUUACGUAGGACCUCCUCUCCUGAUCUUGCAGAAUACAUGCUGUUCCCUAAUAUUUCCAUGGCCCAUUUAGCCAUUUAGCUUUUGAUGCCUAAAGGUGGUUUGCUUAUACCAUAUUCCCAAGUUUUGAGGUCUUUCACUGUUGAUUUCAUUGAUUUAUUUAUCUACAAUUCCUCUGUGUUCUAUUGUUUUUGAAGUUUGUAGAGUUUCUUUCCCGGGAUCCCGGGAACCAACGCACAGAUACAAAAAAAUUAUAAAAUAUAAUUAGAUAUGAUUUCAAAGAUUGUAGGAGAGUUAUUUAUCAAAGAAUUUGAUAAUUGGCAACAUGGAAAUUUCAUGUGGGCGUGAUUUACUAACAGAGGACGAUGUUAUACACAUCUGACGUUACACACGGUAUGGCGCUAAAAGAAAAAACGCUUGCAUAGGCACUUUUUAUUUUUUUAUAUCCCACGUGUCGAAGGUGCCUGAAAUAUAUGCCCCGACCGAAUCAGCCGAUUCGGAUACCAAAAAAAUUGCACAAAACACCUCCGCGUAAAAAAACUCUCUCUCGCACAGGGAAGAAACUCCUGCCUUUCAGCAGUCAAAUUCCUUCGAAUCACCGAUUCGGAAGGUCCGAAAGAACGAUCGGAGGCCACGGAGAGGCCUUCUGCCGCAAUUGGUAUUCCUGUAGGUCAGAAAAAAUUCCUUGGCAAAAAAGCCAGCUCGCAC
rnacentral:lncRNA from 1 species